GGCCAGAGCCAAGGCGGGAGGAGGAAGCCUCAGUCGUCUCGCGCCGUG
rnacentral:SRP_RNA from 1 species